GCGUCGCAGUCGCGCGGAGCCCGGCUUCCGACGUGCAUCCCGGCAGUGCGGUGAGCUGUCUGGCCUUUUGUCCUUGAUCCUUGGUUAAGGAAAUGACCAACCAGUACGGUAUUCUCUUCAAACAAGAGCAAGGUAAGUAGCCUGCCUGUUUAAACAAUUCAUCUGUGAAAAAAACUGUGUUGUCCCUGGUUUAAGACUUUUGUCAUGCUGACCAGACAUGCAGUUUUCAAGUAUACUCACUUUGCAGAAGAAUUGGCAGCUGAAAACAAAUACUCUUAAAAAACAAACAACAACAAUAAAAACCUGAACAACCAACUAAAAAAAAAAGCAGUCAUCACGAUAGGUUGGAGAAUUCCAGGCUGAGGAAAAUUUUCCCACCUGAGGAAGACAUGACCAAGCUUCCCAGAUGCUGAGGUGGAAGAAGGAAAUGCUUUGAGCCUCAAAACUCUGUUAAUGCCGGCUCACCUAGGGAGGUGAACGUGAGCCUUUUUCUGAACUCAGAACUUGCUUUGGCCCUUAAUGAAAGUGAAGCCUAUAAUAGUGAAAUGAGUUUCUCUUGAGGCCACUGAGUGCAUGGGGAGGGCUGGGAGCUC
rnacentral:sRNA from 1 species